GCAGUGGGGAUUCAGCAGGAGAGCUCUUGCCUCUCAUGCAGGAGGCCUGGGUUUGAUUUCCAGCCAAUGCA
rnacentral:tRNA from 1 species